GUCCAAGCUACCAAGGGUCAUCGGUGGAUGCCUUGGCGCCAGGAGCCGACGAAGGACGUGGCAGGCUGCGAAAAGCCCCGGCGAGCUGUCAAGCAAGCUCCGACCCGGGGAUGUCCGAAUGGGGAAACCUGGCUGGGGUCAUGCCCAGUCACUCCGGUCUGAACACAUAGGACCGGCAGAGGGAACCGGUGGAACUGAAACAUCUAAGUACUCCGAGGAAGAGAAAGCAAUAGCGAAUCCCUGAGUAGCGGCGAGCGAAACGGGACCAGCCCAAACCUCCGCAGUGUAUAAAGCCCGACGGCGUUGCUGCGGGGGGGUUGCGGGACCCGCUGGAUGGUGCGUCGGCACUGUCACAGAGUUACAAAGGCGACGAUCAGCCGAACCCGGAUGGAAAGCCGGGCCGCAGACGGUAACAGCCCCGUAGGCGAAGGUCGUUGCUCUCUGAGCGGUGUUCCCAAGUAUCACGGAGGAUAUUCCGUGUGAAUCCGCGAGGACCACCUCGUAAGGCUAAACACUUCCUGGCGACCGAUAGUGAACUAGUACCGUGAGGGAAAGGUGAAAAGCACCCCGGUGAGGGGAGUGAAAUAGUACCUGAAACCGUUGACCUACAAGCAGUGGGAGGAGUUCUUUUAGAACUCUGACCGCCUGCCUUUUGAAGAAUGAGCCGGCGAGUUAGUGGUAUGUGGCAAGGUUAAGGUAGUUGUACCGGAGCCGAAGCGAAAGCGAGUCUGAACAGGGCGCCACAGUCGCAUGCCCUAGACCCGAAUCCGGGCGAGCUAUCCAUGGGCAGGGUGAAGCGAAGGUAAGACUUCGUGGAGGCCCGAACCCACCAAGGUUGAAAACUUGGGGGAUGACCUGUGGAUAGGGGUGAAAGGCCAAUCAAGCCCGGUGAUAGCUGGUUCUCCCCGAAAUAGCUUUAGGGCUAGCGUUACGCGUUUCGCGAUGGGGGUAGAGCACUGAUUGAACUAGGGGGCCCACAAGCCUACCAACUUCAGUCAAACUCCGAAUCUCAUUGCGUGAGAGCGUGGCAGUCAGUCUACGGGGGAUGAGCUUCGUGGACGCGAGGGAAACAGCCCAGAUCGCCAGCUAAGGUCCCUAAGUCUGAGCUAAGUGGGAAACGAUGUGGAGUUGCACAAACAGCCAGGAGGUUGGCUUAGAAGCAGCCA
rnacentral:rRNA from 1 species